UUUAUAUAUUUCAGAUAAAUGAAACAUGACUUGGAACCCUUUAAAGAAACCAGCCCUUUGCCAGAAACCUGCUCUUUCCCAGGGUUUAGCUUCCUAUGAAGAUGAUAGAAUCCUAGAACUAAAUUUUGUCAAAUUACAGGAGCUGGAUGAGAACUGUAGGAAGCUGUAUAAGGAGGUUAGAAGGAGUGAAGACCUCCUCUCUGGCCUCCACAGAGCCGAGGAAAAGUUGGCCUCCGACCUCUGCAACUCACAACUUUGCCAGGAUGAUGCUGAACUAAAGAGUUUAACAGAUAAGUAUGUGAGUGUAGCAUAUCAGAUGGGUCACACUACUGAGGACUUGACAGACCUGAACCAAAGAACUGUUGUUGAUCCGUUGAAGAAACUAACUGGAGAGUUUCCUCAUGUUCAGGCUGCCUUGAAGAGAAGGGAUCAGACCCUAGCUGAAGUUCUGAGAACGAAAGAUAAACUAGAGAAACAGCAGAAACUAGAGAGAACGGGGCAGAAUAUAGUAAAGACUGAACAGAUGAAACGAUGCUAUCAAGCAGCCAAAGAGGAUUUUGAAAAGCAAAAUAGGUUAUUAGUGCUAGAACUUCCCCAGUUUUAUAAGAAAAGAAUUGAAUAUUUUAAUCCUUCUCUUCAAGCUCUAAUACGCAGUCAGGUUGAUUAUUAUGGAGAGAACACAAGGUUAUACACAAACCUAAUUACUGGCACUCCAAACUCAAGAAUGGCUGAUGGUAAUGGAGGAGAGGGUGUGGAAGGAGGUGGAGGGGCUGGUGGUAGUCAGGGUGUUGAUCCUCCAGGUUCAGCAGAUCCUGGAGUAGCAGAUAAACUAGCAAAGAUUAAAGCUCUCUCAAUAGUUUAACCAUUUAUUUUAACCUAUAACAGGGACUAAAUCUUUAGGUCGGGAUAGCGCUCAGCUAAUCCCACGGUUUUAUAUUCCAUGGUGUAAACUUUUGAUUGUUGAGAUAAAUGAAAACCUCACAAAAAGAUAUUUUAAGAAAUUGGCUUUAAGAGAGGACAAAUAAGAUUUAUAAACAGACUAAAAAUUCAAAUUUUUUGACUUAAGAUAUGAUUCCGCAAUAAGUAAUCUGUUUUUUUAAACUCUGCUCUCAUUGGUCAACAGUUUGGAGGUGGGACCAAUCAGAGAACAAGAUUCACUCAUUAAACACGUCUAAAACAUUUCGUUCUUCCAGUUUUGGAUUACAUACAGUUUUUGGGUUGAACUGUAAUAUUCUAAUUAUGAAGAUCUCCUCUUCUGAAGUUUUAUAUGGACUUACGAUUCGGAAAUUUCAGUCAAUUUUUAAUUUCUUCUAAAAAUAUUUAUUGCUAAGGCUCAAAUUUACAAUAAAAAUUAUGAAUUUAGUACAAAUAAAUAACUUUAAAAGUUAACGUUUUCUACGUAAUAAGAAAUAGUAAAUUUUAACGAGAAAAGAAUUUUUUUUACAUGCUAUGUUAUUAGAAAUUUACUCUAAUUUAUAUGUAUGUAUGAUGUGCAUUUAUGUUAUCAAUAGCAAACAAAGUACAUUAAAAUAAAUUUACAUAAAAAAUCA